UACAGAGGUGGCAAGCGUUGUUCGGAAUUACUGGGCGUAAAGGGCGCGUAGGCGGUCUUGUAAGUCUUGUGUGAAAUCCCUCGGCUUAACUGAGGAACUGCACGGGAUACUGCGAGACUUGAGUUCGGGAGAGGGAAGCGGAAUUCCGGGUGUAGCGGUGAAAUGCGUAGAUAUCCGGAGGAACACCGGUGGCGAAGGCGGCUUCCUGGACCGAUUACUGACGCUGAGGCGCGAAAGCUAGGGGA
rnacentral:rRNA from 1 species